CUGGAGAGUGCAUGAUCUUCAGGUAACUGCGGGCUGCCAAGUGUGUCUCUUCAGUAGUAGUGGCGAGCAGCGUCUUUAGGAGGCGGCUUGACAGAGUUGGGCUGCUGCAGAAACCAACUCAGGCUGAGAUGAACUAAGUCCCACUGCAGAGGGAAACUGGAGCCGAGAUUUCCAUCUCCAAAUGCUUAAUGCCUGAGCAGAGAAGCCUCUGGGCCAUUAUGACAAACCACUAUCAGCUGUUAUUACAUUGAUACUGCCUGGCGGAUCAAGGAAAUGAAGCUUUGUUCUAGCGUGUAUUACAGGAAGUCAUUCUUACCCAAAUGGAUAUUGCUAGCAAUGGACUCCUUAGGAAAAACUUCCCUGGAGGAGUGGCCUUAGAGCCACAGACCAGAGGCUCUCCUGGGCUUUUGACAGCGAACGAGAUGAAGGAACAGCCAAAGGCAAAAAGCCUCCCUCGUGGAAAACGGAACAAUUCUGGGAGAAGACACUGCCUGAGGGAUUUUACAAUCCUUUGUGAGUAAUAAAAGACUGGAAUGUGGAACAAUAAGUGAUAAAAAUAUGGCCACAAUCAAAGGCAUCUGGUCAAAGAAACACCCGUGCUCUCCGGAGGGGCUGAGCUUGAAGAGUAAGGGCAGAAAGUGGCGGGUAUAUGAAUACAAGACAGAUACUGGGUGGUGGCUAAGAGCGUGGGCUGUCUCCUGGCUUUGCCACUGCCUGGCCCCAGGGACUUUGGGCAAGUCACUCCACUGUUUGUGCCUCGGGGUGACCAUGUCUGAAGGGUGGAUAUAGUAGUCCUUGCCUUGUAGUUUUCUGGGGAUCAAGUGGGAUGAUGUAAGUGCCUGACCCAUAGUGAGUGCACAAUACAUAUUAACUAUUCUCAUUAUUAU
rnacentral:lncRNA from 1 species